UCAAGUUAAUAAGAGCAUAGGGUGGAUGCCUUGGCACUAAGAGCCGAUGAAGGACGUGGUAAGCUGCGAAAAGUCUUGGUUAGCUGCAAGCGAGCGUUGAUCCAGGAAUGUCCGAAUGGGGAAACCCGGCUGUCGUAAUAGGCAGUCACCGUGCACUGAAUACAUAGGUGUACGGAGGGAGACUCGGGGAACUGAAACAUCUAAGUACCCGAAGGAGAAGAAAACAAAAGUGAUUUCCUAAGUAGCGGCGAGCGAACGGGAAGCAGGCCAAACCAGAGACUACGGUUUCUGGGGUUGUGGACGCAUCAUAAGUGAUGGCGGUAUUCUAGUCGAAGAGGUUUGGAAAGACCCACCGAAGAAGGUGACAGUCCUGUAGACGAAAGAAGAAGGCCCACGAUGCGCACCAGAGUACCACGGGGCACGUGAAACCUUGUGGGAAGCCGGGAGGACCAUCUCCCAAGCCUAAAUACUCCUUAGUGACCGAUAGCGCAUAGUACCGUGAGGGAAAGGUGAAAAGAACCCCUGUCGGGGAGUGAAAUAGAACCUGAAACCCUAUGUUUACAAGCAGUCGAAGAACUUUAUAUGUUCGACGGCGUACUUUUUGUAGAACGGGCCAACGAGUUACGUUAUGCAGCAAGGUUAAGGUGUUAAGCACCGGAGCCGAAGCGAAAGCGAGUCUGAAGAGGGCGUAGAGUUGUAUGGCGUAGACCCGAAACCGGGUGACCUAUCCAUGAGCAGGGUGAAGCUGAAGUAAAAUUCAGUGGAGGCCCGAACCCAUAUCUGUUGAAAAAGGUUGGGAUGACUUGUGGAUAGCGGAGAAAUUCCAAUCGAACUCGGAGAUAGCUGGUUCUCCCCGAAAUAGCUUUAGGGCUAGCCUUGAUGUGAGUGACGCGGGGGUAGAGCACUGACUGUCCUAGGGGGCUUCACCGCCUACCGAAGACUAUCAAACUCCGAAUACCGCAGUCAUAUAAUCAGGAGUCAGACUAUGUAUGAUAAGAUUCAUGGUCAAGAGGGAAACAGCCCAGACCGUCAGCUAAGGUCCCAAAGUCCAAGUUAAGUGGGAAAGGAUGUGGGGUUGCAUAGACAACUAGGAUGUUGGCUUAGAAGCAGCCAUUCAUUUAAAGAGUGCGUAAUAGCUCACUAGUCGAGUGACCCUGCGCCGAAAAUUACCGGGGCUCAAACUUGGCACCGAAGCUACGGCAAUAACGUAAGUUAUUGGGUAGGGGAGCAUUGUAUACGGGCAGAAGCUAUACCGUAAGGAGUGGUGGACUGUAUACAAGAGAGAAUGUUGGCAUGAGUAGCGAGAGGCAGGUGAGAAUCCUGCCCGCCGAAAACCUAAGGUUUCCUGGGGAAGGUUCGUCCGCCCAGGGUUAGUCAGGACCUAAGCCGAGGACGAGAGUCGUAGGCGAUGGACAACUGGUUAAGAUUCCAGUACCACCGAUCAUCGUUUGAGAGAUGGAGUGACAGGGAAUGCAAAGUGAUCGCACUGAUGGAUGUGCGUCCAAGCGUCAAGUGAGAAGAAUUAGGUAAAUCCGGUUCUUUAAUUGCGAGGCGUGAUGGGGAGUGAAAAAUAAGUAGCGAAGUCACCGGAGAGUCCUUCAAGAAAAGCUUCUAUCGAGAUGUUAGGUGCCUGUACCGUAAACCGACACAGGUAGGUGAGUAGAGAAUACUAAGGCGAGCGAGAUAACCAUUGUUAAGGAACUCGGCAAAAUGACCCCGUAACUUCGGGAGAAGGGGUGCCGCAUUAGGGUGAAUAGCCCGAAGCGGCCGCAGAGAACAGGUCCAAGCAACUGUUUACCAAAAACACAGGUCUCUGCUAAGUCGUAAGACGAUGUAUAGGGGCUGACGCCUGCCCGGUGCUGGAAGGUUAUGAGGAGAGGUUAGCGUAAGCGAAGCUUUGAAUCGAAGCCCCAGUAAACGGCGGCCGUAACUAUAACGGUCCUAAGGUAGCGAAAUUCCUUGUCGGGUAAGUUCCGACCCGCACGAAAGGCGUAAUGAUUUGGACACUGUCUCAACAAUGGACUCGGUGAAAUUGUAGUACCGGUAAAGAUGCCGGUUACCCGCAGCAGGACGGAAAGACCCCGUGGAGCUUUACUGUAGCUUGGCACUGGAUUUUGGUAUAGCAUGUACAGGAUAGGUGGGAGACUAAGAAGUAUGCACGCUAGUGUGUAUGGAGUCAAUGUUGGGAUACCACCCUUGCUAUAUCAGUGUCCUAACCGUGCGCUGUUAUCCAG
rnacentral:rRNA from 1 species